rnacentral:rRNA from 1 species
UACAUGUGGGGCAAGCGUUGUUCGGAAUUACUGGGCAUAAAGGGUGCGUAGGCGGUUUGUUAAGUCUGUGGUGAAAGUUUUCGGCCCAACCGGAAAAUUGCCGCGGAUACUGGCGAACUCGAGUGCGUGAGGGAUGGGGGGAACGAGCAGUGUAGCGGUGAAAUGCGUAGAUAUUGGGAGGAACACCAGUGGCGAAGGCGGCUCACUGGACCGGUACUGACGCUGAUGCGCGAAAGCGUGGGGAGCAAACGGG